rnacentral:rRNA from 1 species
GACGAACGCUGGCGGCGUGCUUAACACAUGCAAGUCGAACGGAAAGGCCCCCACCUUGGUGGGGGUGCUCGAGUGGCGAACGGGUGAGUAACACGUGGGUGAUCUGCCCUGUACUUCGGGAUAAGCUUGGGAAACUGGGUCUAAUACCGGAUAGGACCAUGGUUUAGUGUCUCAUGGUGGAAAAAUUAUUGUUUUGGUGCAGGAUGAGCUCGCGGCCUAUCAGCUUGUUGGUGGGGUAAUGGCCUACCAAGGCGUCGACGGGUAGCCGGCCUGAGAGGGUGGACGGCCACAUUGGGACUGAGAUACGGCCCAGACUCCUACGGGCGGCAGCAGUGGGGAAUAUUGCACAAUGGGCGCAAGCCUGAUGCAGCGACGCCGCGUGGGGGAUGACGGCCUUCGGGUGGUAAACUCCUUUCGUUAGGGACGAAGCCACACCUUUUUUGGGUGUGGUGACGGUACCUUUGUUAAGAAGCACCGGCUAACUACGUG